ensembl:lncRNA
CGCUAGGAGUCAGACACGACUUCACUUCCACGCAUUGGAGAAGGAAAUGGCAACCCACUCCAGUGUUCUUGUCUGGAGAAUCCCAGGGACCGGGGAGCCUGGUGGGCUGUCGUCUAUGGGGUCGUACAGAGUCGGACACGACUGAAAUGACUUAGCAGCAGCAGCAGCAGGUUGGGGGGGUUCCCUGGCUGACCAGGGAUUAAGAGUCUGUUCUUCCACCACAGGGGGCAUGGGUUUGCUCCUUGGUCAGGGCACUAAGCUCCCACAAGCCACAUGGCGUGGCCAAAAAAAAGCAUACUGAGAGCCUAGCAAUGGGGUGAGGCCAGAGGUCUUGGGUCCUCUGUGAAAGGCAUGUGCUGGUCAAGGAUGUGGUGAACGCAGGAGAUGGGAUGGGGCUGGGUCCCUAAGUGAUGAAAUUUGGGGUUCACCAAUCUAUUUUUACAAAUGAUGGAAACUGUAGAAGUAGAAAUAUGUAAGCAACACCAUCAAGAUGGGGCGUCAUUUGACCCUCUAACCCGAAUUCAGUCCAUCUGAGCUCCUGUCCAGCCAGGUCUCUGCCGCCUGGAGCCCCUCCCCUCCAGCGGGUGCCCCGCCCCACUCUCCCCUCUCCAACCGCCAACCGCCACCCGCCGCGAGCCCUACCUCUGCCCGGGCUCCUAACGUGCCUACUCGCGCCCCCCCUCGAGGCUCAGCCGGUACAGCCAGGACGGGCAGGGGUCGACACCCUGCCACCCCAGCUCCAGACCCAGGUCCACGGCCUCCCCGCCAGGAACCUGGGGACCCACUUGAUUCCGUUUCGCUCCCAGAAGAAGAGGUUAUCCCUGAAGGCGCGGUUGAUGUCUACGUCAAUGUGCUUGACGUCAGGACAGCACCGCCGGGCCUGCUCUUUUAUGCUCUUUUGUGGGCGGGGCCGAGGGGGCGGGGCCAACGUCAGGCGGCCCUGACCCGCUGGANNNNNNNNNNNNGGCGCGGCGCGGCCGGAGGGACCGCAGCUCUUUUCUGCAGAAACCUCAUUCCGCUUGUUUCUGAAGCCAUCGGGGCUCACGAGGGACUCCCCCGUCCAAGGCCCAGAACCCCGACCGUUAACAAGGUCCCAGAGCAGAGACCAGGCCUGCCCUCGCACUGGUGGAGGGAUGCCCAUGGAUACCCUUCGGCACAUCUAUGGGGGAGAAGCAGCCCUGAGACAGAUGCAGGCACCACGCCGGGGAGGAGACGGAGCGAGAGGCCUGUGGAAGAUGCUGCAGAGGGGCAGGGUCUUCCUAGAGCUGGGUCUGAUCUUCCCAAACUGGGAGUGGAGAAUAGCCCCAACUGCUCCCUCCCUGUGGGGUCCUGGGCUGGGCUGGCUGCCGCCCUGGCAUCAGAAUCUCUCAAGCCUUGUGGGGCCCAAAGGCUAGCGCCCUGCAGGGUCAGGAUACUCAGCUUUGUACCUUCGUGCUGCCCUGGUAUUUUUGCCAGCUCCUCAGCUUCUUCACCCACUUGUCAGCUCCCCGGAGGUCUUGGGCUUUUUGCUAGAAUAUAGGACAUGGUGGUGUUCUAGCUGCCAGCUCCCUAUGGUGGCAAGAAUGGGCGUGAACUCAAGGGCCCCCAGGACAGGCACAGACCCCUCGCAGACCAAGGACACUUUGACAGUUCUGGGGUGUGGAGCAGUAGGGAACCCCAGCCGCACCCGUGACCUCCUCCCUCCUUCUGCUGGUACAGCACGCGUGGAGUCUUACCCUCACUGAGUGAGUGCUGAGGCCUCAGAUACUGAAGCCCUGGAGACUAGGUGGGUUUUCCUGACUGGAGGGCAAGAGAAACAAGGUGUUAGGUACUGACCCAGCUGGAGGCCCAGAAGGCACCACCCACCCACUCAACCCCCAAGUCAGUCCAGGAGACUCGAAGGGAGGGCUGAUCCCCCCCCAGGGUGCUGGCUUCAGGGUGGGCUGCAUCCUGGAGACGCUCUAGGGGUGGGGGUGCCAUCAGGCCAUCGGGGGACCCACAAGGAAGGCUCGGCCCCCACAUUGGAGGGUCCUCCCGUAGAGGGCGGCUGUGUUCCGCUGUGCACCACCCCUGGGGGUCAUCUGUCCCAACAGAGUUCCAGGGAGCGCCCCAGCUAGGGGCGCUCACCACAGGGCACCCUGACCGCCUUCAUGCGGCUGGCACUCCCUCCUCCGUGGCCUGUGCUCCACGCUCAGGCCCGCUUCCUCCUGUGCACCUUGAGGAUGGUGUAGGCCAUGGCUGUGAGCAAGUGCCCACCCUCCAGGAUGGAGGCCUCCCAGAGCCUCAGGGUCAGCGGAAAGGGGGGGUCUGUGGGGACAGUGGGCAUGGGCGGGGCCACUUGAGCAGGGCAC